GUGGGGAAUAUUGGACAAUGGGCGCAAGCCUGAUCCAGCCAUGCCGCGUGAGUGAUGAAGGCCCUAGGGUUGUAAAGCUCUUUCACCGAUGAAGAUAAUGACGGUAGUCGGAGAAGAAGCCCCGGCUAACUUCGUGCCAGCAGCCGCGGUAAUACGAAGGGGGCUAGCGUUGUUCGGAAUUACUGGGCGUAAAGCGCACGUAGGCGGAUAUUUAAGUCAGGGGUGAAAUCCCAGAGCUCAACUCUGGAACUGCCUUUGAUACUGGGUAUCUCGAGUAUGGAAGAGGUGAGUGGAAUUCCGAGUGUAGAGGUGAAAUUCGUAGAUAUUCGGAAGAACACCAGUGGCGAAGGCGACUCACUGGCCCAAUACUGACGCUGAGGCGCGAAAGCGUGGGGAGCAAACAGGAUUAGAAACCCCUGUAGUCC
rnacentral:rRNA from 1 species